UGGAUCCAGACUUUGAUCAUGGCUCAGGAUGAACGCUGGCGGCGUGCCUAAUACAUGCAAGUCGAACGAAACUUCUUUAUCACCGAGUGCUUGCACUCACCGAUAAAGAGUUGAGUGGCGAACGGGUGAGUAACACGUGGGCAACCUGCCCAAAAGAGGGGGAUAACACUUGGAAACAGGUGCUAAUACCGCAUAACCAUAGUUACCGCAUGGUAACUAUGUAAAAGGUGGCUAUGCUACCGCUUUUGGAUGGGCCCGCGGCGCAUUAGCUAGUUGGUGGGGUAAAGGCUUACCAAGGCAAUGAUGCGUAGCCGAACUGAGAGGUUGAUCGGCCACAUUGGGACUGAGACACGGCCCAAACUCCUACGGGAGGCAGCAGUAGGGAAUCUUCCACAAUGGGCGAAAGCCUGAUGGAGCAACGCCGCGUGGGUGAAGAAGGUCUUCGGAUCGUAAAACCCUGUUGUUAGAGAAGAAAGUGCGUGAGAGUAACUGUUCACGUUUCGACGGUACCUAACCAGAAAGCCACGGCUAACUACGUGCCAGCAGCCGCGGUAAUACGUAGGUGGCAAGCGUUAUCCGGAUUUAUUGGGCGUAAAGGGAACGCAGGCGGUCUUUUAAGUCUGAUGUGAAAGCCUUCGGCUUAACCGGAGUAGUGCAUUGGAAACUGGGAGACUUGAGUGCAGAAGAGGAGAGUGGAACUCCAUGUGUAGCGGUGAAAUGCGUAGAUAUAUGGAAGAACACCAGUGGCGAAAGCGGCUCUCUGGUCUGUAACUGACGCUGAGGUUCGAAAGCGUGGGUAGCAAACAGGAUUAGAUACCCUGGUAGUCCACGCCGUAAACGAUGAAUGCUAAGUGUUGGAGGGUUUCCGCCCUUCAGUGCUGCAGCUAACGCAAUAAGCAUUCCGCCUGGGGAGUACGACCG
rnacentral:rRNA from 1 species